rnacentral:tRNA from 1 species
GAUCUGUAGCUCAGUUGGUUAGAGCAACCGGCUCAUAACCGGUCGGUCCUGGGUUCGAGUCCCCGCAGAUC